CAGAGCCGGAUGAGGGAGACCCUCACUCCGGUCGGAGGGCGGGGAUAUCCCGACCCUAC
rnacentral:sRNA from 1 species